CUUAACACAUGCAAGUCGAGCGAAGCACUUUUGCUUAUUUCUUCGGAUUGAAGCGGCUGUGACUGAGCGGCGGACGGGUGAGUAACCGCGCGUGGUAACCUGCCUCAUACUGGGGGAUAACAGUAUGGAAACGGAUGCUAAUACCGCAUAUUCGCACAGGACCGCAUGGUACGGUGUGAAAAACUCCAGAGGUAUGAGAUGGACCCGCGUCUGAUUAGGUAGUUGGUGGGGUAACGGACUACCAAGCCGACGAUCACAGACAACCUGACAGGGUGACCGGCACACUUUGGGACUGACACACUGCCCAAACUCCUACGGGAGGCAGCAUAUGGGGAAUAUUGACACAAUGGGGGAAACCCUGAUGCAGCGACGCCGACGAGAGCGAUGAAGUAUUUCGGUAUGCUUAGCUCUAUCAACAAGGAAGAAAAUGACGGUACCUGACUAAGAACCCCCGGCUAACUACUUGCCAACAUCCGCGGCAAUACGCACGAUCCGAGCGAUAUCCCGAUUUAUUGCCUUAAAAGGGAGCGCAAAUGGGACGUUAAGUCAAUUGUGAAAGUUUGCGGCUCAACCGGAAAAUUGCAAUUGAUACUGGCAGUCUUGAGUACAGUUGAUGUAGGCGGAAUUCGUGGUGUAGCGUUGAAAUGCUUAGAUAUCACGAAUAACUCCGAUUGCGAACGCAGCUUACUAACCUGUAACUGACAUUGAUGCUUGAAAGUGUGGGUAUCAUACAGGAUUAGAUACUCUGGUAGUCCUCCCCGUAAUCGAUGAAUACUCGUUGUAGUCGAUAUACAGUCUGAGGCCAAGAGAAAGCAUUAAGUAUUCCUCCUGGGGAGUACUCCGGCAACGGUGAAACUCAAAGGAAUAGUCGGGGGGGCGCACAAGCGGAGGAACAUGUGGUUUAAUUAGAUAAUACGCGAGGAGCAUUAUCCGGGCUUAAAUUGCAACAGAAUAUGGCGGAAGCGAUAUAUCUAGCAAUAGCGGUUGUGAAGGUGCUGCAUGGUUGUUGUCAGCUUGUGCCGUGAGGUGUUGGGUUAAGUGCCAUAACGAGCGCAACCCUUGCCGAUAGUUACUAACAGGUCAUGGUGAGGACUUUGUCGGGACUGCCAUUGUAAGAUGUGAGGAAGGUGGGGAUGACGUCAAAUUAGCCCGGCCCUUACGUUCGGGGCUACCCACGUGUUACAAUGGGGGGGUACAGAGGGCUGCUACCACGCAAGUGGAUGCCAAUCCCAAAAACCUCUCUCAGUUCGGAUUGAAGUCUGCAACCCGACUUCAUGAAGCUGGAUUCGCUAGUAAUCGCGCAUCAGCCACGGCGCGGUGAAUACGUUCCCGGGCCUUGUACACACCGCCCGUCAAGCCAUGGGAGCCGGGGGUACCUGAAGUGCGUAACCGCAAGGAGCGCCCUAGGGUAAAACUGGUGACUGGGGCUAAGUCAUAACA
rnacentral:rRNA from 1 species